rnacentral:rRNA from 1 species
CCCUGCCAUUUGUACACACCGCCCGUCGCACCUACCGAUUGAAUGGUCCGGUGAAAUCUUCGGACCGAGCGAUGGUGGGCAACCACCGACGCUUGGAAAGUCGCUUAAACCUUACCAUUUAGAGGAAG